GUUAGGGGAAGGUUUGAAGGCCCUGGAGGUGACAGCAGCCCCACAGAAAGAUUGAUAUGUCAACUACCCUGCACCCCUGAGAGUUCGCAGAGACUGAGCUCUCAACUAAGAUCAAUCACACGGCUUAUCCGAGUCUGGUCCCCGGACCCUGACACAUCUGUAGCAGUAGGAUGCGCCUAAUCCUGCAAGGACUCGAUGCACCAGGGUGGGGGUUAGAGAGACAGGAGCUUCACUCUCAGAGCAAAAGGGGAAGAGAAAGGGAGGACUGAGAGGGAGAGAAACAUGUAGGAUAUAAACAAACAAACAAACAAAUACCUUAUAGAUUGCAUUUCCACUUACAAAGAACUGAGUCUUGGAGGCCAGAUUGUUUCCAAUUGUGUGUGUCUGGAGGAGUCAGAUGAUGUCUACUCUCAGUUUCCUCUGACUUGACCUGCUUCUCAGGGCAAGGGCCAAUCUUAUUUGACAAGGAAGCCCCUUUAGUUCUUAUGUGCACAUAGAAGGAGUCUACAUUGAAGGGGAUUACACUUUCAAAGGUGUCCUGAUCUCUGAUCCUCCCAUAGUAACACUAACAUGUUAAGGAAACUGCUACAAACCAAUGCCUUGGCUGGAUCUACCUGGGUUUUGAACACUGGGUUCUUUCUUAGCUAUGCUGCUCCUAAAUUCCAGGCUGACAAAACUCAGCAGAAAAAGUAAAACCCACAUGGAAGAAACAGUAGAUGGCAAAGGGAGACAAAGUCUCAGCAGGGUAGUCAUGGUCUCUGGCCCCUUCUCACAGAUACAGGAAAAGCCCUGGGACACGAACUCUCCCCAAGGCUGCCUCCUUGUCUAAGCAAAGACUUUCAUGACUGAGAGCAGAUCAGUCUCUGCAUAGGUAGACUCUAAGUGUUGUCUUAAACGUCCCACAUCCAAGCAUUAACUCAAGCAGAAAUGAGUGUCUUCCUCCCAACAGAGUAAUUACCAAUUUCCUAUUAUCUCAUAACACCACAAAGAAUGAUUUCCUCUAACACUUCUGUCCUUAAAAGUCAUAUUCCUUACAACUGUUCAUCCCCAAGACUCCAUUUUAUAUAUAAAAAUUUGCAAAAUCAGCACCAUCUUUUGUUUUAAAAAUAUUUAGUGUUGUGUUAAACGGAUCCAUCAUUUUAGAGCCCAAGGAUUGUAGAUCUCCACAGUACAAAUGCAAGUUAAACAGAUGCGGUCCUCCAUGGGCUGACUUUUAAAUUUAUCUACAUAAUCUAGAGAUGUUUGUGUGUACAUUCACCCUGUUUUCCUUUCCUGUUAGCUUGCUGCCUCUUAACUUGUCUUGAAUACUUUAAGAAGCUGCUCUGGGAACCUUCUCUCCAGUAGAUUAGAAUGCCUUAAAGAUAAAUUUCCUAUCUAACUGGGUUGAGAGAGAUGCCCAAGGUGUCUUCGGCAUCCUCAUUUGGUACAGCCAACCAAAUCCUCUUUUGUACCUAAUAAACAUGGUCUGUAAUUUAUAGACAGGUUAUGAACUGUUAGAGCUCUGCUUCCUGUGUAGACGCCAAGCACUGGAAAUUCUAUUUUAAGAGAAUUAAAGAACUGUAUUAUAAAAUGUUCAUGGUAUGAAAAGUACAGAAUUAAGACGAUUUCAACAAUUACAGUGUCCUACUUAAAUUAUGUUGAAAGGAAAUCCGGGGACAGUUUGAAGUGUGGAGAAGCAGGCCGGGCCUUUCAAUCUCCUUUAGAGACACACGCAGCAAAACGAGAAGCCCUUGCCUUGCCCUCAGCAAACCUUUCCCUCCUAAGCUCAAUCUCCAUAUUCUUUAAACUUCUUAAAAUUAGUCAAAUGAUUCCAUUUGUAUUUUUUCUGCUCUAAAUUUAUUUGAGGCAGAAUCAAAUGUAUACCAACCCAUCUUCCUUGCUGUUUCAUGGAAGCCAGUUCCAUAAUUCUCCAUGAGAAGAAAGCCAAUGUGUCUAUCAAAGAGGCUUUAUGUUAAAUGUAAAUUUCUGUACUUUCAGUUAAAAGGGAAGAUUAUUUAAUUCACUUCAAUUUAACAAGCAUUUACAGAGUAGUGGCAGGCAUUGGUCACGAAAAGGAAUAAAAAAGAAUACAGAAUGCUUGGAUGUUUCCUAUGGACUGAGGGAAACAGGUGCAUCCACCAUGAGUUCAGGACAGGGCAGAACUCGGGCUACACCAGAAGCACACACAAAGGGGAGGUGUGCUGAUUGAUGUGUGUCUAGGGACUCUAACAGAGGUUUCAGAGAUGAGGCAAGGUGACAUUGGGACUGGCUAAAGGAUGAAGUCUGUGGCACGGUAUCCUAUGGGAAAGAAACCCGUAGGAAAAAAACAAUAUACCACAUGACUCCACAUGAUUUGCAGAUCCUGGCACACAUAAAAAGAUGGGGCCCCAACUCAAUACCAUUAGGAACUUCAGUGAUGAUAACUGGGUAAGCCUGUUAUCCAGCAAGACUCAGGGAAGCCAACCUGUAUGUCAAUGGCCACCUGCAGCAACUGGAGGACCAGAGACCUAGUAAGGUGGCACCUAGUAAUCUUAAUCAUCAAAUGUGUCAGGGGGCCGAGAUUAUAGGGGGUUCUCCCGCUAAGAGAAAGCGUCCAUUGCUGAUGACAGGGUACAGGACAUACUAAGUACUUUGCCAAGGUAGACAGAAGCUAAGCAUUUAACAAACACAUCUGAGAAUAUGAGUCCCUUUCUCCUCCACAGGCUGACACUAUUUAAGUUGAUACAGAAAGUAUUGUUUUUCCUGUGAGUUGAAUUCUUUUCCGGGAGGGAGUGGAGGGAGCUUUGAAGGGUCUGCUGUCCCCAGUUUGCCUCUAACUCAACAGACAAAAAAAGGGAGUUAUAGUGCAAAUAAAGAAACAUAUAUUUAGAUUUUCGGUGUGACAUAAUAUUCCCAAUUUCCCUCCAUUUUCCCUCUUUUAACAAAAAGAAACUGUAGGCAAGGCCUUGAUAAGGCCUCCACAUGAGCAAGAAGGCAAUGGACUCAGAUCUAUUUACAUUUUGCCUGCAUUUAUUUUUACAGUCCAGUGGUGAGUGGGGCUAUCCAGCUCCCACUUCCGCCUGAAGCUACUUUAAGCUUCAAACCACUGCCCUGAGCAUUGGAACAGAGUCUCUGCGGUCCCCAUAGAAAUCCUGUGGAAUGCACUUUCCUGCUGGUUUGUUACACUGCUUCAGCGCCUACUCCAUUUUGCAGGGCAACAAAACUCCACACCACAGUCCAACCAGAAAGACUUUAACCCUUCUCUUCUGUAAUUAAAGUUCCUAUUUACAUGGAAAGGUUGUUUGUGAAUAAUCCCUGCAGGGAGUCAACCUAACAAAAAUCAAUCACCCAGCACUCUCACAAGGCCAAGCCCAGAGCUUGGCACCUAGCACAAUACCUAUUUGUUGAACAAGUGAUGAAUGCUGACCCAUUUAUCUGGAUUGAUUUUCUUCUGCCCCAAACCUAACUUUCUACUCUGUUAAAUUCGACUCUCUUAUCCUUUUAGAGAAUUCUUCAAUACAUUUUUCCCCUCCACAUCUUAAACUAUUCCCUGAAGAAUUCUCAUGGCUCUAUAUCAAAAGUCCUAUUAAAUUCUUAAUGGGAUAACCAUGAAAAAGGAAAUUAUUGUAUUAAUUCUCUGUCACCAGCACAGGACUGAGUGAGCUGACCGCUGGCGGAGCAUUCGGGUUCUGAGUCAGGAGCCUGGGCACAUUCAUGCUCACACAGUGGACGCGCAUUAAAGUGAGAGCCUGCACUUUUCACGUGAGAGAGAACACAUGGCAUUUGUCCAUCCGAGCCUGGCUCACCUCACAUACAGCUCUGGGCGUGCAGCCAAGUUAUUCAACCUCCCUGCACCUGGGAUCCCUCACGGGCUCACUGAGGAGUGAAUUCAGUCUCUGGAAGUACUGAGUACAGCACCUGACCUGUGGCACAUUCUCAGUGGAAGUACUGAGUACAGCACCUGACCUGUGGCACAUUCUCAGUGGAAGUACUGAGUACAGCACCUGACCUGUGGCACAUUCUCAGUAAGCACUACUUUUUACCACCAAUCUACUAGAAGUAAUAAUCACUAAUUUAACACGAACGUUAAUAUUUUAAUGUGCCAAUUUAUAUUCAUUCAAUAUGAAUUUAGAAGAUUAUGGAAUAAUAUGUGACUGAUAAAAAUUUUCUUCUUUGAAGAAAGCUCUAUUUAAGAACAUGAGAUGGUUACAUAAAGGAAAUCGUUUUAGUUUACCUCGUGUUCCUCGGUAAAUUCUCUGUCGUGCCUUCCAGAAAACGAAACUCCUUGACAAAGCUUAAAUGUUUAUAAAACUUCCUUGAAAACUUACACAUUUUCCCAUUUUUUUCUGACAGAAUGUGAAGAGACUGUUUCAGUGCUUUCCUCCCACAACUGUCCGCUUCCAAAAGACAAAUUGCAGAAGGCAGGGAUUUUUUUAUUUUUACAAGUCUCAAAUUAAAACCUCACAUUAAACAUUAUUAUCAUUUGGAAAUAUUUGGCCACGCAAAAGCCAACAGACAAGUUCGUUCUAAAAGGCAUUCUGUCAUCUCUUUAGUGGCCACGGCCCUGCCAGCUUCCUGGUGCUCUUAUGACAGUACCAUCAGUCAAUUCAAUCGGAGAAAAUCUAAAGUACGAUGGUAAUUUUCCCCCACAUUUUUUCUCUACUCCGUCAGUCCAAGUCACCUGCUGAAAGCCUUGAUGUGGAACAGCUCGGUAUUCGCUCUGAAGUCAGUACCAGUCCAAAGCUAAAUGCCUGCAUAUUCUUAGCAGAGACUUAACAGCACGUGAGCCCAGACGUGGAACAGACAUGGGGGCACAUUACUUAAGAUCCCCUGUUAUAAAGUCAUUUGCACUGACCCUGAGUAUUGCUACACUGAUGUUAGCCGGGAAAGGAAAAUGAGUUCCUGAAUAUAGGAACAAGUGUUUCAGCGUGAAGUUAACUGAGAACUAUUAAAAAACAAACAAUAAACUCGACUCCAUACCCAGCACAUUAAGUAGCUGACACGUCUAACAGGGUCUCGGCAGAAAGACAUAGGACAUUUUAAAAGAACGCUUCUGUGCCUUUAAAUUUCAACUUGAGUUUUGCAGUAGUGUGCACAUUUUUUUCACAUGGCCCCUUAAAGAGAAAGUAAAGUGCAAUCACCUCUGGUAUCUUCCGUGCUCUGGCACCUCGCCUGGCCUGCCGAGCCCAGCAGGUAGGUCUGUAAGCACUGAGGCUGCCAGGAUGAAAGGCAUUUGCUACAUCUACUCAGAGGGUCGUCAAUGGACAACCUGUACAAGAUUUAUGCUUUAAAUAAUAAAUGAACUAAACACCUUGAGGUAAUUGGCUGUGUGAAGCUUCACAAUAGCCCAGAUAGCUUGUCUGAAAAAAGCCAAAGAAGACUGAAUAAUGGAUGCGGGGCGUGGGGGAUUUGUGCCAAGCCAACACUGCACAGCUCCUUUUUAAACAAGAGUGGUCUGGGACUCCAGUUUCCAGGAUCCUAAGAAGUGCUGACCAGACUUUCUCUUUCUGUGUCCACAGUAAUGACUUCAAACGUUCUUACUUUUUCAUGAUUUCCAAUGGAUGCUGGCACGUGACAGCCAGUUCUUUUAGCUUAAUAUGUGGCCCGCUGGGUGAUGCAAUCUUGUCCAAAGUCUACAGCAUACUCAAUUCUACCUGCACUUUAUAAAGAUAAGAAAGACCAGCAUCUGAGAUGUCUGGGGGUGGGUACCUCUGAUGCAGUACAGAUUUAGUAGCAACUGCCACCAUGAGGACUAACUGAUGGCCUGUCAACCAGCAUUCAAGACAUGUCCACUGCAGGAUUCUGUAAGCAGAGAGCCCCUUCCUGUGAGAAAAGCACAUCAAGAUAUUCAUAUGAACAAAUUAUGGCAGCUUGGUGGAAAAUUUAAAUGGGGAAGAGAUGAAGGCCAGAGUCCGGCAUGAGAUUGCUGGAUGCAAACACAAGCAGACGGACUCCUUCAGGCCACAGAGGCACUGUCUGAAGCACAAAUGUACACAGCAAAGAGAUGGACACAGGGACAACUUAGAGGCAACAUUCGAAUCCCUGGCGUUCACGGCCUUUGCACCACCUGCUAACACACAUAACUGCAGGACAGCCAUGGUUUGAGAAAUGCCGAACACUGAGAAACUGAGCCCUGAAGAAAGGACCUACAAGGACGAGCUGAUGACCAAUGGAGAAGGAAAAGUCUCCUUUUCAACCAGUCUACACAACACGCUUUCACUAGUCACUACUCACUUCAGCUAGGGCAUUUUUAUAGGUAAGUCGGCGUCUUUAUUCUUUAGACCAUGUGGAAGAAAGAAUGCAGAUAAAAUUCAAUCAAUAAUUUCUUAUUCAAUUACUGUAAGAAUGUUUUCACGUAUUGCAGAGAUAGACCAUUGUGCCCACCUUUAAAAAGCAAAGAAAAGAAAACCUGAUGUACAAAAAAUUUAACUUGCUCCACAUAUAAAUUAGGAAGUGAUUAUUUGCAUUACAAAAGAUCAUACUUUUCAAAAAAAAAGAUAAGUAACAAGAUUCCUUGAAAUAUCAAGUCCCUUGGUAGAACAAAAUUUUAAUCCAAUUUACAAAGGAAACAGGGAAGCACAAACUUCAUGUGGGCCUAACUCCUACUUCGAAAUCUUUACUGGCCUGUGGCCUCCCUUUCUGCUUUUUCCUGCACCUCUGUGCAGGAUAUUAUGUAAGAAAGCGCCCACUCUGCCAUAGUAAUGGGGUAUGGAUGUAGCAGAGAUGUCUGGGUUGCUGGCGGAAGUGCCAGAGAUUAUCUGAGGUACUGGCGGAAGUGGCAGAGAUUAUCUGAGGUACUGGCGGAAGUGCCAGAGACUGGCUGGGGUGCUAGAGUGCAGAGGAGAUUGAGAUGAAGUAGUUUAGAGUCUCCGGCAUGUCUUAACGCAAGGCUUCAUCUUCUGCCUGCCUUCCUAUAUUUUGAGCUCUUCACAAAGGGAUCGUUUUGUUGUUGCUGUUUAUAACUCAGUCCCUGGGGCCAGGCCUGGCAUCUGAUUCACAGAAUUGUGCAAACCAAUAGUGCUGGAAAGAGAUUUCUAGGUGCCACCGUGUAACUGAGUUUCUGGCCUCACUGAGGAACUGCUAUCUCAUUCAGUUCUCCGUGCAUAGUGAUGGAAUGUGGACAGUGUGGCCGUGCGCUCAGGAGUCAAGUACAGUGGCUGAGCUCACACACUGCAAAGUGGUGGGGAACAGGAAUUCACAUCUGCAGGACACUCUGAACUGCAGACAAUCUGUAAGCACAGCGGUAAGAUGCUCACAAUGUAACAUGAGCAAGAGGCAUUACUUACAGCCACAGAACAGAUGCGGUUCUAUUCCAUCUCGUUCUAGAGACAUAGUCAGUAUUUCUGAAAAGAACACACUUUCCACAUACGGGCCAUCCAGAAUCUUCUCCUGGUGAUUCACUGACAGAGCAAAGCCCUUGAAGACGGGGUAUUUUUUUUUUUUUUGAAAAAGCACACUACAGCAUCUUUUCAUUUUGGUCAUUCUUCUAUACUUUUGACAAUAAUUUAAAAACAGUAAGCAUUCAAGUUCCCAGUCCCAUGAGCUCAGGGUUGUACCCGGGCUCUGCCACUUUUCAGUCAUGUGGUCUCUAAGAGGGACACUGAGAGCUGGCAGAUUGAAAAGGCUGAGGGCAGUGGGGAAAAGAAAAGCACAGAGCAAUGGGGGAGAGAGAACCUGGACUGUACACAGCAAAGCGCUCACAAGCACUGCAGAUUAUCAAACUCCCUCGGGGGAGCUGUGGUGAGCAGUUAUCCCACGACAUUCUAGAACAAGACAAAGAACUCCAAGAGGAUUGGGAUGAAGAAGAGAAAAUAGAUCUGCCUUUUGAUUGACACCUCAUGCAAUGGAAAGGGUAAACAGGAAAUCCACAGCAAAAGUAAAACGUAUUCUAGAAAAACUACAGAAAUCUUCAAAGCAAGACUUCUACAAUGAAUCUAAGUUUGCACAUCUAAGAUUAACAUGAUCCAAACCAAGAAAAUCUUUUGUCAUAAUUCUCCUUCUUAAUUCUGUUGUGAAACCCUGAGCUAUUCAUUUUUCUGGGAAAGGUUUGGUGCUUCCUCAAGAAUAUCCAUUGGGGCUUUUUCCUGAAAGACUAGAAGAGAUUCAUCUUCCUAAAUGUGUUAACAAAGAUCCUCUCACAUGUCCACACGUACAUACCCAGGGAAGUCUUUCAACCCAAGCCCCAUGGGGUGCUAAUCAAACUGCAGUGUUCUGUAGACCAAACCAUGAUGGCUCUUCUACCAGAUAUCUCUGGUUGGCACUGGCAGCUAUCCUGCAACUUUAAACUUAAAUGAGAGGCCCAGAAAAAAAACAGGCUCGGCAAUGAUUUAAUUGAAGGAAAUUUUUGUGAGCCAGGAAUUCUGUAACAAGCCAAGUUAUAAUUCAAGUAUGAUAAUAAUAAUAAAAAUAAAAUAUUCAAGGGCUCAGAAAAAUCUAACACAUAAAUCACUUAAAACCUCUUCAAGAUGUACUCCAGUUAACUGAGAAAUGAAUCAAACUGGAGAUGCCGUGAUGUGACAGACUUCAGAUUGAAAGUUAGACACAAGUGACUCUGAGCUGAUGAAAAUGCUGCAGAAGUACAUUUAGAUUUUAAUAUUGUAAAAUAAUUUGGUAGUAAUAAACUAAGUUUAAAACAAUAGGCUUUGCCAAAAAGCACAUUUUUUUAAUACUGCAGGUUUCACUUAGGGACAAUCUAAAGACAAAUAUCCCAAACAAAGAUUACGAUGCCUGUUUUCACGUGUCACCUUGAUUAGGUCAAUAAGUACCCAGGUUCUUGGCCUAACAUUAUAUUGAAGUGUUUCUGUGACAUUCUUUUAGGAUAAUGUGAAAUUUAAAAUAGUGAGAAAAGAAGAGUAUACUGCUUAAUGUGGUUGCCACUUAAGCAAUUCCUGGAAGAACUGAAAAGAACAAAAAGGCAGGCAUACUCAGACUCCACAAAAAACAGCCCCAGUUCUUCCUGUCAGCCAAGCUCUAACAGGACAUCAACCCCACUCCAUGCAGUUCUGAAACCACAGGACAACCCCAGCCCCCUGUAGGUAUGUCUUAAAAGAUCAUCAUUCUUUAUUAGGGAAGUACAAAUAAAAUUAUAAUUGGGUACCAUUUUCUUCACAGCAGGACGAUGGAUAGUGUUAAGGAGUUUCUUAUAAAAAGAAAACCUGGAAUAUAGGUGUUAAGAAUGAAAAUAAACUAUGAAUAUUUGGCAUGGAUAUAAAAAGGUAUGUAGUAUAUUCAUAGUUUUACUGAGAUGUUAGUACAUACAUGGUGUUCUUACGUUCAAUAGCAAUGAAGAAAUGCCAAGAGGAAAAUCAGCAGAUCUAAGUUUGCAAAAAGGAAAAGAAACUUAUUUGUGUUGUAAAAUAACAACCCAAAAAGGAAAUAUAGGAAACAGUAAAGUGUCAAAUGAUCUACCACACAUGGUUCACAGUAAUCAAGUAAUGUCACUGAAUUGUUAGCAGCAAAUCAGGUAGUGUCUAUUAAAUGGCAUAAAUAAAAAUAUAAAACCAUGUAUUCAACACAAUGUGCCAUAUGUGUUCUAAAGAAAUACGGGUUUCACUUUCAAAUGAAGAAAUAUACUAAAACUGGCCUUGGAAAAAAUGGAGUUAAACUUGCAUUUUCUCACAAGGCUAAGGAGGUGAUUUGCCUUGCAAGAGACUCUCAUACACAUGAGACACCUCUGAACACAUACACUUAUAACAUGAUACCAUCCCCAUAGAAUAACCUUAACAAAAUAUUCCUGCAAAAUUUAUAUAAAAUGCUCACAAGUUCAAUAUAUAUAUAUGUGUGUGU
rnacentral:sRNA from 1 species